UAUGGGGUAUGAAAAGGUAAAUGGUAAAUGAAAAAAAAAAGAUUGUUGGAUAAAAGAAAGGUUUAAGAGUUGGAUGUUGAACAAAAUUCAAUCAAGCAUGCAUGCCACUCCUGAUAUGCAACCACAAGAUUCUACCCAUAAGCAAAUAGGAGACUCUUAGCCAUCCAGUAGUCUUGAAGCUCAUAUCUCUAUUCUCUACAAACUAAUGUCAAACUUGGAUUUUAGAAUGGCAA
rnacentral:lncRNA from 1 species